rnacentral:rRNA from 1 species
UGAGGGAAAGUUGCAAAGAACUUUGAAGAGAGAGUUCAAGAGUACGUGAAACUGCUCAGAGGUAAACGGGUGGGCCCUCGAAACCCCUCGCGGGGGGAUUCAGUCGGGAGGGCGCGGGAUGGCCACAGUCGACGGACCGGACGCCGUAGCAGCGUCGGGCCGCGGCCAGAGUCUCGCGUUCCGCCCGACGCAUUUCCCCCCGCGCUGCGGACGCCGCAGCCCGUCGGGGUCCGGCCAUGAGGGCGCGCAGCGGCAGGUGGCGGGUGGCACCCUCCCAGAGGAGCGGAGCCGUCCGUUGAUAGCCAGCGCGUUCUCUAGCGGGCGCGGAACCCGACGGAGGUAAGAGACUCCCCCGUCCCUGGGGAGCGAGCCGUCCCCUCGAUGAUUCGAGCGGGCACCGCCUCAGGCGUCGCGCGCUGAAACCGGCGACUCACCCCUCCGCGGUGACCGUCGGAGCGUGCGCGCCGUUGGAAGUGGCGGGCGUCCCGCCAGAGGGAAWURAGAUGGCUGGCGGCGAGUAGGUCGGUAACCCACCCGACCCGUCUUGAAACACGGACCAAGGAGUCUAACAUGUGCGCGAGUCGGCGGGUCUUGCUCAGGCCCGCAGGCGGAAUGAAAGUGAAGGCCGGUUACCUAGGCCGAGCCUCGUUGGGAUCCCGUCCCCUCUCCGGAGGGGGCUGGCGCACCAACGGCACGCCCGGUCCGAUCCGUCGGACGGGCGUAGCGAGAGCGUACACGUUGGGACCCGAAAGAUGGUGAACUAUGCGUGGGCAGGGUGAAGUCAGGGGAAACCCUGGUGGAAGCCCGCAGCGGUUCUGACGUGCAAAUCGAUCGUCGGAUCCACG